rnacentral:rRNA from 1 species
CAUGCAGUCGAGGGGUAUAUGUCUUCGGAUAUAGAGACCGGCGCACGGGUGCGUAACGCGUAUGCAAUCUACCUUUCACAGAGGGAUAGCCCAGAGAAAUUUGGAUUAAUACCUCAUAGUAUUAUUGAGUGGCAUCACUUAAUAAUUAAAGUCACAACGGUGAAAGAUGAGCAUGCGUCCCAUUAGCUAGUUGGUAAGGUAACGGCUUACCAAGGCAACGAUGGGUAGGGGUCCUGAGAGGGAGAUCCCCCACACUGGUACUGAGACACGGACCAGACUCCUACGGGAGGCAGCAGUGAGGAAUAUUGGACAAUGGGCGCAAGCCUGAUCCAGCCAUGCCGCGUGCAGGAUGACGGUCCUAUGGAUUGUAAACUGCUUUUGUACGAGAAGAAACACUGCUUCGUGAAGCAGCUUGACGGUAUCGUAAGAAUAAGGAUCGGCUAACUCCGUGCCAGCAGCCGCGGUAAUACGGAGGAUCCAAGCGUUAUCCGGAAUCAUUGGGUUUAAAGGGUCCGUAGGCGGUUUAGUAAGUCAGUGGUGAAAGCCCAUCGCUCAACGGUGGAACGGCCAUUGAUACUGCUGAACUUGAAUUAUUAGGAAGUAACUAGAAUAUGUAGUGUAGCGGUGAAAUGCUUAGAGAUUACAUGGAAUACCAAUUGCGAAGGCAGGUUACUACUAAUUGAUUGACGCUGAUGGACGAAAGCGUGGGGAGCGAACAGGAUUAGAUACCCUGGUAGUCCACGCCGUAACGAUGGAUAC